GAAAUGACACACAAUGGUAUUUAGCAAUUUCACAAGUAUCAUAAUGAAAACUUUCAAUAUCAAUAUUUUUGAAAAAUAAAAAAAACAUGAUCUUAAGCAGCUGAAAAGAUGGAUGAUUGAGACAAAAGUGGUAAAGCCAAAUUUCAGAUUUGUUUAAAGAGCCAAAAUUAAUGGAAGAAGUACUUCAUGAAGAGCAGGAGGGUUAACCGAGUAUCUUUAUCCAUAGAACCACUAACUUCUUCAAGAUAGUAUAACCCAUUCCAUUCUUUAGCAAAUCCAAUCAUCCUCCUCAUAACUUGGUCCUGAAAAACACAAUGAGUGCGAAAAAAGGUUAUCUGACAGUUUAAGUCUUUGGUAUGUUGAUAAAUGGAAACAAGAUUGGUGAAUAGUUCAAGAACAUAUAGCACAUUUUGUAG
rnacentral:lncRNA from 1 species